rnacentral:rRNA from 1 species
CCUACGGGAGGCAGCAGUGGGGAAUCUUGCACAAUGGGCGAAACCCUGAUGCAGCGACGCCGCGUGAGUGAAGAAGUAUUUCGGUUCGUAAAGCUCUAUUAUCAGGGAAGAAAAUGACGGUACCUGACUAAGAAGCCCCGGCUAACUACGUGCCAGCAGCCGCGGUAAUACGUAGGGGGCAAGCGUUCUCCGGAUUUACUGGGUGUAACGGGAGCGUAGACGGCAGCGCAAGUCUGAAGUGAAAUCCCAUGGCUCAACCGUGGAACUGCAUUGGAAACUGUGCAGCUAGAGUGCAGGAGAGGUAAGCGGAAUUCCUAGUGUAGCGGUGAAAUGCGUAGAUAUUAGGAGGAACACCAGUGGCGAAGGCGGCUUACUGGACUGUAACUGACGUUGAGGCUCGAAAGCGUGGGGAGCAAACAGGAUUAGAUACCCCAGUAGUC